rnacentral:lncRNA from 1 species
AUUUCCGUUACAGAUCAGAUAAUAGAAUCAACGUUUAUGACCGCGGGUGUUCUAACAAUUUCCUUGAGACAUUUUGCUCGAAAGUGAAGCCCUCAAGGAACGACUUCAGAGCGUUCAUGAGAGAAGAACCUCCGAGGAAUAUCACAAUGGCUACCACAUGGGAAAGACCAGGAGAAGAAGAGGAAGGAAGUUCGGACUUGGAGGAAGGGCGUCAGAAAGUGGAAGACGAUCUUGACAUCGAUGAAGAUGUUAUGAAACUACAGCAGCGUUCUAAUGCAGAAGAAGGCAGCGAUCCAGCGCAUCACAUGGUCGAGGUUGACCAAAUGAGAGUUGGGUCUAGUGAGAGAGCACCAACUAUUCGAUCUGAAGUGAGGCACGGGAACUGGGGAGCAAGAAGUAGCGCACAAGAGGAUGUGGUUAGUGGUUCUUCGGUCAUCAGGGAGAGUAGAAGCUAUGCAGCUGCAGAGGAAGGACGGUGAUGGGUGAACAAUGGGAGUAAAAGAGGUUUUCUCUUUCUUACUGAACUUUAUUGUUUUAGUUUUUCAAUAUAUUACGGGUUUAGGCCCUCGUGGUUUGGUUUGAGAGUUGUGAACUUGAUGGUGGUUUGGGCAACUGUGAAUGAUUCCGUUUGGUCUGUACUCCGUUUAUCGGCCAGUUAUUGUUUUCAAGGGCUUGCCGCGUAUCAGUUGAGUAAGUUUAAGUAAGCUUGGGUAGAGCUCAAUACUAAGUAAAAUAGGUUACUCUCUCGGCUUAUCUUUUUUAUAGAUGUUUUUUGGGACAAACCAUUUGAGUAUUUGUAUUUUGUAGAAACUUGUUCCAAAUUGGAAAAAACACAAGCUAAAUUAAUAAAUAGACAAAAUUUGAAACCAGAUCAACGUUCUCAAGUUAUACUGCCAUUGUUGUAUUUAUAAGCCACAGUUACAAAAGCUAAAACCAAAAUCUGAUUCCCAACAAAAUUGUCGAAAGGAAUAAUUUUUUUUUCUGGCGACGAAAUGGCUUCUUCCUCUGAUUUUUUCAUCGUCUAAACUAUGGGAACCUUGUCACAAUUUCACUUAGCCCCACCAUCGGCCUUGAUCUACAGAGACUACAUCGAUGCCAACAGCCGACGAGUCAAAAAAAAAUCAUAAUAUUUAACCCACUAUUUUGUACUAUUAGAUUCAACACACUGGUGAUUCUAGUUCUAUGAUUCUUUUAUCAUAUUUAUUAUAAAUAUACAAUAAAUAAAUUAAAGAAAUACCUUCAAAUAAUAUUUAAAACUAUUAUUUGUCACAGAAUAACACAAGGAUUUUUUUUUCCAAAUUAGUAUUUAUUAAAAGGUAAAAAACAAAGAUACCUAUAUUUAUAACUGUAUGAUUAAUUAAUAUAAAAAUAGUUUUUGAAAGAAAUGUAACUGAUAAACUAUAUAUUAAAUAUGUAUAUAAAUUGCUUAAAAUACUCAAAAUUGGCUACCAUUUUUUUAAAAAUACACUCAAUCAAAAAUACUCUAAUAUUUGAAUUUAGGGUUUAAUGAUUAUUGUUUAGGGUUUAGUAUUUAUGGGGCUGGGUUAGGUUUAUAAAAUUUUGUAAAUAUUUUAUAAAGUGUUCAAAAACAUUUAUAAAUUAUUUAAAAGAGUUUUAUUUUUUAAUCACAAAUUUAAGGUAUUUAUGAAAAUAAUUAUUUUUGAAGGUAAACUUGAAAAAUGGUAUCGAACUUGUGAUAAAAUUGAAAUUCCCUAAAUAUAUUAUAUAUAUGUUUAGAUUUUAGUUAUUAUAGUUUAGAUUUUACUAUUUAAUAUAACUAGAUUAUGAUUUAUUUUUUUUCUUUGGUUAGUAAAUGUUAUUUUUAAGAUUAUGUUUGUGUGGGUUAGUUUUGUGAUAAUAACUUUUCUAGUGCUAUCUAUUUGUGUAAUAUAUGAAUCUACUCUAUAAAUCAAAGAUACUCUUAGCACUUCAUUAAUCUACCGUUGUAUUAAGACAUUUAUAGUAAUCCUAUAAUGAUGACAUAAUAAAAAGGUAAACAAAACUAUAAUGCUCUUCUAGGGAGACACACUCCAGAAACGAAACGCAUUUUGUGAGACAGAGAGGGGGAGAGAGAUCACCAUUCACUCCUCCACCUGGAUUUGCAUCGUACUUAGCCUGAAAUGAAAUGAAUCGACCAAGAAAGGUAGAGGAUCGUCCAAUUCGACAGAGAGUAGCGAAGAGUGUCUGAUCCCAUCGCUGAUUCUCAUGGCGGGACGGGUCUACGAAGCCUGGAAGGGAAGCAAUGUAAGGUUUUGAUAUUUAUAUAGUCUCUAUCUUCACUUUUCUGGAAUCUGCAUUAUUCGAAUUAUCUGCCUUUCUCCAGAAAUAUGAAUUUAGGGUUUGCCACCUUUUAUUGCCUUUAAUUCCCUAAUAACUUUCAGUUUUAUAAAUAUACUUUUAACUUCUUGUUAUCAUUUGCUUUCUAUUUCACUAUCCAAAGCAUGGACAUGAAUUUUAAAUAAAAUCAUAUUGUAUCAUCAUCAGCUCCUCUUUCAAUGCCUCUUUUGCAGAAGUUUUUAUUUGGUGGGAGAUUGAUAUUUGGGCCAGAUGCUUGGUCUCUUCCAUUUACCUUGUUGCUCAUCAUAACUCCAGUUACUUUGUUCUCUGUUUUUGUUGCAACACAUCUACGCCACGAGUUCUUCUCAAACACUGCAGGAGAUGCCAUCCUAGUAGUAGCCAUUCUGUUUACUCUUUUUGUAAGUCGCCCAUUUUAUAUUCCAUAUAUGUUGUCUUGUUUACACAUGUGUUUCCUGUUAACUUGGGAUAUUAAUCAUCUCUUUUGAGUGUUGCUUAUAUAAUUGCUGGUUUACUUAAAUUCAUACCACAUUAACUUAAGAAUCUAACCAAAAAAAAAAAAGAAUGAAAUUAGUCACACCACAACAACAUGUAUCUUGUGAUUUGUUGUCUUCUUUCUUCUAACUUAGAGGUGAAGUUAGAGGUAUUAUGUUUAACAAGCUAAACGUUGAAAGUUCUCACUUCCUUCUUUGUGUGGCUUUCUAGUGGGUAGGUUUAAUGUUCGUCCUUGGCACAUCACUUGUUUUGAUAGGUAUUGAUCCUCCUCUUCCUCACUUCUGCGCGAGAUCCUGGAAUCGUUCCAAGAAACUUGCAUCCGCCAGAGGAAGAACUAUGCUAUGAGGCUACUGUGUCAGCUGAUGGAAGACAAGCACCCACUGUUCAAAUUCCGAGGACGAAAGAAGUCAUGGUUUAUGGCGUUCCUGUUAGAGUUAAAUAUUGCGAUACAUGCAUGCUUUAUCGACCUCCUCGUUGUUCCCAUUGCUCCAUUUGCAACAACUGUGUUGAGCGUUUUGAUCACCAUUGUCCUUGGGUAGGCCAAUGCAUUGGAGUGGUAAGCUGAUUUAAAAGCACAUUAAACUUGGGAGAUAUACUUUUGAUUCUCUCUGGAGAUAUGGUUCUAUAUAAAGUUCAUAAUUUUCUAUGCGUGUUGACCAAACUGUUGACCCAUCUUGACAUUUUGUUUUUGUGUGUGUUGUAAUUGCAGAGAAACUAUAGGUUUUUCUUUAUGUUUGUUUCCUCUGCAACUCUUCUCUGCAUUUACGUGUUCUCCAUGUCGGCUUUAUACAUAAAGUUUCUCAUGAAUAACAAUCAAAGUACUGUGUGGAGAGCAAUGCGAGAAUCCCCUUGGUCUGUUAUGCUGAUGAUAUAUUCCUUUAUAUCCCUGUGGUUUGUUGGAGGGCUUACUGGUUUCCACUUAUAUCUCAUUAGCACAAACCAGGUUAGUUUUUUUUUUUUUUGCUUUAAUAGGGGGUUUUAUAAAUGUCUCAUCUGAUAGCUAACAUUGUGAUUCUGUUCAGACAACCUAUGAGAAUUUCCGUUACAGAUCAGAUAAUAGAAUCAACGUUUAUGACCGCGGGUGUUCUAACAAUUUCCUUGAGACAUUUUGCUCGAAAGUGAAGCCCUCAAGGAACGACUUCAGAGCGUUCAUGAGAGAAGAACCUCCGAGGAAUAUCACAAUGGCUACCACAUGGGAAAGACCAGGAGAAGAAGAGGAAGAAUGUUCGGACUUGGAGGAACAGCGUCAGAAAGUGGAAGACGAUCUUUACAUCGACGAAGAUGUUAUGAAACUACAGCAGCGUUCUAAUGCA